rnacentral:rRNA from 1 species
GGCCGCGGCCAUACCAUGUAGGGAACACCGGUUCUCGUGUAAUCACCGAAGUAAGGCAACAUUAGGCCCGGUUAGAACUUGCAUGGGUGACCAACUGGGUACACCGGGUGUUGCGGCCG